UACGGAGGGGGCGAGCGUUAUUCGGAAUUAUUGGGCGUAAAGGGCGCGUAGGCGGCUUGAUGUGUCAAAGGUGAAAUCCCUCGGCUCAACUGAGGAACUGCCUUUGAUACUGAGGAUCUUGAGUUCGGGAGAGGUGAGUGGAACUGCGAGUGUAGAGGUGAAAUUCGUAGAUAUUCGCAAGAACACCAGUGGCGAAGGCGGCUCACUGGCCCGAUACUGACGCUGAGGCACGAAAGCGUGGGGAGCAAACAGG
rnacentral:rRNA from 1 species